UGGGGAAUCUCGCGCAAUGGGCGAAAGCCUGACGCAGCGACGCCGCGUGAGUGAUGAAGGCCUUCGGGUUGUAAAGCUCUGUGGGGAGAGACGAAUAAGUGUGUCCAAAUACGGCGCAUGAUGACGGUAUCUCCUUAGCAAGCACCGGCUAACUCUGUGCCAGCAGCCGCGGUAAGACAGAGGGUGCAAACGUUGUUCGGAAUUACUGGGCGUAAAGCGAGUGUAGGCGGUCUUGUAAGUCGGAUGUGAAAGCCCCGGGCUCAACCCGGGAAGUGCACUCGAUACUGCGAGGCUAGAGUGUCGGAGAGGUUGGUGGAAUUCUCGGUGUAGAGGUGAAAUUCGUAGAUAUCGAGAGGAACACCGGUGGCGAAGGCGGCCAACUGGACGAACACUGACGCUGAGACUCGAAAGCGUGGGGAGCAAACAG
rnacentral:rRNA from 1 species